GCUGGGCAUGGUGGCGUGUGCCUGUAAUCCCAGCUACUCAGGAGGCUGAGGCAGGAGAAUCGCUUGAACCCAGGAGGCGGAGGUUGCAGUGAGCCAAGAUCGUGCCAUUGCACUCCAGCCUGGGUGACAGAGCGAGACUCCGUCUCAA
rnacentral:sRNA from 1 species